CCACUGUGGUGGAAUGUCUACGGGAAACUGAUGCCUCCCUCAGCCGGAGAGCCCUGGAACUGAGCCUGGCUCUGGUAAAUAGCUCCAACGUGCGAGCCAUGAUGCAAGAGCUGCAGGCCUUUCUGGAGUCCUGCCCUCCUGACCUACGGGCUGACUGUGCCUCAGGCAUCCUGCUGGCUGCAGAGAGGUGAGGUGCCCAGGAGUCAAAGAGGGUAGAAUCUGGGGAGGGUCAGUACCAGGACUGAUGAGCCAUAUAUCCCCUAGGUUUGCUCCAACCAAACGCUGGCACAUAGACACCAUCCUGCAUGUGCUGACAACGGCGGGCACCCACGUGCGGGAUGAUGCAGUG
rnacentral:sRNA from 1 species